UGGCCCCUACGGGAGGCAGCAGUGGGGGAUAUUGCACAAUGGGGGGAACCCUGAUGCAGCGACGCCGCGUGGGUGAAGGAGCGUUUCGGCGCGUAAAGCCCUAUCGGCAGGGAAGAAGAUGACGGUACCUGACUAAGAAGCCCCGGCUAACUACGUGCCAGCAGCCGCGGUAAUACGUAGGGGGCAAGCGUUAUCCGGAUUUACUGGGUGUAAAGGGGGCGCAGACGGCAAUGCAAGCCAGG
rnacentral:rRNA from 1 species